AACGAACGCUGGCGGCAGGCCUAACACAUGCAAGUCGAGCGCGCCCUUCGGGGUGAGCGGCGGACGGGUGAGUAACGCGUGGGAACGUGCCCUUCUCUGCGGAAUAGCCUCGGGAAACUGAGAGUAAUACCGCAUACGCCCUUUGGGGGAAAGAUUUAUCGGAGAAGGAUCGGCCCGCGUUGGAUUAGGUAGUUGGUGGGGUAAUGGCCCACCAAGCCGACGAUCCAUAGCUGGUUUGAGAGGAUGAUCAGCCACACUGGGACUGAGACACGGCCCAGACUCCUACGGGAGGUAGCAGUGGGGAAUCUUAGACAAUGGGGGCAACCCUGAUCUAGCCAUGCCGCGUGAGUGAUGAAGGCCUUAGGGUUGUAAAGCUCUUUCAGCUGGGAAGAUAAUGACGGUACCAGCAGAAGAAGCCCCGGCUAACUCCGUG
rnacentral:rRNA from 1 species